CAGUCGCCGCGGUAAUACGAAGGGGGCUAGCGUUGUUCGGAAUUACUGGGCGUAAAGCGCACGUAGGCGGAUCGAUCAGUCAGGGGUGAAAUCCCAGGGCUCAACCCUGGAACUGCCUUUGAUACUGUCGAUCUGGAGUAUGGAAGAGGUGAGUGGAAUUCCGAGUGUAGAGGUGAAAUUCGUAGAUAUUCGGAGGAACACCAGUGGCGAAGGCGGCUCACUGGUCCAUUACUGACGCUGAGGUGCGAAAGCGUGGGGAGCAAACAGGAUUAGAUACCCCUGUAGUCCCUGUCUCUUAUAA
rnacentral:rRNA from 1 species